rnacentral:misc_RNA from 1 species
GAUGAAGAACGUAGCGAAAUGCGAUAAGUAGUGUGAAUUGCAGAAUUCAGUGAAUCAUCGAAUCUUUGAACGCACAUUGCGCCCCUUGGUAUUCCAUGGGGCAUGCCUGUUCGAGCGUCAUUUGUACCUUCAAGCUUUGCUUGGUGUUGGGUGUUUGUCUCGCCUUUGCGUGUAGACUCGCCUUAAAAUAAUUGGCAGCCGGCGUAUUGAUUUCGGAGCGCAGUACAUCUCGCGCUUUGCACUCAUAACGACAGCGUCCAAAAGUACAUUUUACACUCUUGACCUCGGAUCAGGUAGGGAUACCCGCUGAACGUAAGCAUAUCAAUAAGCGGAGGA